UCAGAAUUAUGUAGCAUGCAAUCAGCAGAAUCAGCAAAUGAACCGCAAUGUUGGUUAAAAGCUAGUGUAAUAGGAAUUCUAUAUUUAUAACAAGUUUUUAAAAAUUCAUACAUAGAAUUCCAUCUAGUAUCAAUUUCCUCAGGCAUCAAAAUCGGUGUAAGUCCAUUUUCUUGACAUUUAACUUUAAAUUAUCUAAUUCUUGAUCUACGAUUAUUUCCUUGAAUAAAACCAAUGGCAAGACGAAUUUUUUCAAUAUAAAACUCAAAAAACUCAAGACCAUCUUUUACAAUUAAAU
rnacentral:lncRNA from 1 species